rnacentral:rRNA from 1 species
UACGGGGGGGCAAGCGUUGUUCGGAAUUACUGGGCGUAAAGGGCUCGUAGGCGGCCAACUAAGUCAGACGUGAAAUCCCUCGGCUUAACCGGGAACUGCGUCUGAUACUGGAUGGCUUGAGUUUGGGAGAGGGAUGCGGAAUUCCAGGUGUAGCGGUGAAAUGCGUAGAUAUCUGGAGGAACACCGGUGGCGAAGGCGGCAUCCUGGACCAACACUGACGCUGAGUGAGCGAAAGCCAGGGAGCAAACGGGG